AUGAAUACUCUGUUGCUGCUGUUACACAUUACUCUUAUGGUUAUUGUUUGUUUUUCAUGCCCAUUGGUAUUCCAAGAGUAUCUGUUAUUAUAUUCAAAUUCAUGCUCAAAUAGAAAAUAUCACGGCAAUGGAAUUCUCCUUCUGGGUGUUUUGUAUGCGCCCGAAUUGCAGGACGACUUCUACCUCAACUUCGUGGAUUGGUCUUCGAACAAUGCCCUCUCGGUCGGAUUGGGGAAUUGCAUCUAUCGGUGGAAUGCAACAGCAAGUUGCAGCAAUCAAUUUUGCUCUAGCAGCACAGGAGUCCAGCCGGAGCCUUUUGUAACUUGCCAUGGCUGA
rnacentral:rRNA from 1 species